rnacentral:rRNA from 1 species
GUUCCCUACGGGGCGCAGCAGUCGGGAAUAUUGCGCAAUGGAGGAAACUCUGACGCAGUGACGCCGCGUGCAGGAAGAAGGUUUUCGGAUUGUAAACUGCUUUAGACAGGGAAGAAACAAGACAGUACCUGUAAAAUAAGCUCCGGCUAACUACGUGCCAGCAGCCGCGGUAAUACGUAGGGAGCAAGCGUUAUCCGGAUUUAUUGGGCGUAAAGCGAGCGCAGGCGGUUGCUUAGGUCUGUUGUGAAAGCCUUCGGCUUAACCGACGAAGUGCAUCGGCAACCGGGCGACUU